rnacentral:rRNA from 1 species
GAUGAACGCUAGCUACAGGCUUAACACAUGCAAGUCGCAGGGUAACAUGAGGAAAGCUUGCUUUCCUUGAUGACGACUGGCGCACGGGUGAGUAACGCGUAUCCAACCUUCCCAUAACUACGGGAUAACCCGUUGAAAGACGGCCUAAUACCGUAUGACAUCGUUUGCUGACAUCAAAUAACGAUUAAAGGUUUAGCGGUUAUGGAUGGGGAUGCGUCUGAUUAGCUUGUUGGCGGGGUAACGGCCCACCAAGGCGACGAUCAGUAGGGGUUCUGAGAGGAAGGUCCCCCACAUUGGAACUGAGACACGGUCCAAACUCCUACGGGAGGCAGCAGUGAGGAAUAUUGGUCAAUGGGCGAGAGCCUGAACCAGCCAAGUAGCGUGCAGGACGACGGCCCUAUGGGUUGUGAACUGCUUUUAUGUGGGGAUAAAGUGCGUGACGUGUCAUGCAUUGCAGGUACCACAUGAAUAAGGACCGGCUAAUUCCGUGCCAGCAGCCGCGGUAAUACGGAAGGUCCGGGCGUUAUCCGGAUUUAUUGGGUUUAAAGGGAGCGUAGGCUGUCUAUUAAGCGUGUUGUGAAAUAUACCGGCUCAACCGGUGGCUUGCAGCGCGAACUGGUCGACUUGAGUAUGCAGGAAGUAGGCGGAAUUCAUGGUGUAGCGGUGAAAUGCUUAGAUAUCAUGACGAACUCCGAUUGCGCAGGCAGCUUACUGUAGCAUAACUGACGCUGAUGCUCGAAAGUGCGGGUAUCAAACAGG